AUCUUGUUAUUAAAGAUGUUAUGUUAUAUAAUGCGGCUACAUAAUUAUACUCUUAUAUGGUCAGCCAAGUGUUCUUCUGGAUAUACCUUUGUGCAAUGUAUAACUGAAGUAUGAUCAUUUCCUUGCAUAAACUAAGCAUACUAUUAAAAUUUUGUGUGUCAGGCCUUAAGAGUAGAUUGCCUUUUCUGUACUUUUGUGUUGCUUCAUCCAUUAAUUAUUUAUUAAAAUGUUAACACUUCAUUGUUAAUGUAUGGUUGUUUACCUUUUGGUGUCGACUUUCGACUUACUGAUUUGUGCAAUCAAAUAUAGAAAAGGAUCUCGUUUCGGACACGACAGCCUUGCUGAUGGCAUGCUUAAGGAUGACCUGAUGUUACUGAUGACACACAUUGAGUUACCUCGCACCAUCAUUUGGCCUUUCAAGCACUUGAUUUGCAUUAUUUUGAUGUAAUCAAAUAGUGUCCCUGCAUCUUAACAAGCCACCCAUUUAAUGUGUCAUCCUUUCCUUUUCUUUUCCUGGAGUUUUUUCAAUAAACAUCGAUGCACUUAUGGAUAGUACAUUGACGCUGAUGAUUCUAUCUUCUUUAUUUGAGAAUAUGAUAUUGUACAUGUAUUAUAGAUUGGAUUACAAAAUAGUGGUUGUAGUUCUUAUGAUUUGCAGUAGCUUAGGUCUGGUGCUGUGGCUUUAGCACAUAACAUGGAUCGGUUUUAAUAUUCUGUUCAUGCUCAUCUUCGCAUUUUAUAGGCAGGUUGUUUGGGAUAAUUUGUACUUUACUAAAUUACUGCUAAAGUGGUUUUGUUGAGAGUUGAAACUAUACCAAUGUUUUGCUUUCUGCUAAAGUCAAAGAUAUUGUAUCCUUGAAUGUUUUUCAAUUACCAACACAUGCCAAAUUCUGCAUAUUUGUUAAUGAUUUCGAUGCCUUCUGUUAGUUUUGCACUAUGGAAGUCAUUGUUUGCUAUGUAUGAAUAUUGGCUUAUUGGGUUUAGAAAACAUUGUAUAUUUUUUAUAUGCUCUCAGUUGAACACGUUUCGGUAUGUAGUGUACAUGGUAUAGGCAGGUAAGAAAACAACCUUAUUUAAGCUCAGGCCUGACUAGCGAUUAAGUCAUUAAAUUUUAGUGGGUAGGUAAAAGAGCAGCCCUAUUUUCGGUAUGCUUGACUUUCAGUAUUUUUGGUCACAGAUUUGUUGAUCUUGUUUACUGCCUCUAUCAAAAUAUUUGUACAAAUCCAGACUACAAAACGUCUUAUAUAUUGAUAGAGUGAGGACUACAGAUUGUGCUGGUGGCAACCUGGGGAAGACUUAUCGACGUGGAUACAGCCACAUUCCUUGACCGAAAUGAUCCAAACUAUGAUAGUAACAAGAUAGUUUGGUGCUCUCAUGGUUAUUUUGUAGAGAUUGUCCUUCUGUUCAUUAUUUGACAAUCAUCUACUGCAGCUCAGCUACUGUCCAGCUGCUUCCCUUAUGGCCUUUCAUUCUCACUGUGAUCCCCUGAGAUGCCUUGUGUAUUUGCGUUGUCCUCUGCUUCUGAUAAUGCAAGACAGAUCAAACCAAUGCAGCAAGACGAAACUUAAAAGGGGAUCUCGGACAAGUGGAAGGAGGGAAGUCGUCGUAAGAUAGAUAAUAAACUUGCCUCCGCUCUGACAAGAGCAUGUUCGUUCAGACCUUUUCUUACUAAAAGAUUUUUAUCUAUAGCAAGUGUUUCCAUUGGAACUAUCAAAUUCAAACUCCUAGAUGUCUAUGUCAGCAUGUAGGACUUUGUCCAGGCGGAGAUAUCCCCUCUGAUCUUUUUAUGAAUCCUUCCACACUUCUUUGUAAAGUGUUGCUGAUUUUAAUAAAAUCUCUCUAUUCAAAAGACAAUAUAAUUCAAGCUACUAGAGGAGCUUGUUCAUUCA